CGCGUAGGCGGCCUUCUAAGUCGAACGUGAGAUCCCCGGGCUCAACCCGGGAACUGCGUCCGAUACUGGAAGGCUUGAAUCCGGGAGAGGGAUGCGGAAUUCCAGGUGUAGCGGUGAAAUGCGUAGAUAUCUGGAGGAACACCGGUGGCGAAGGCGGCAUCCUGGACCGGCAUUGACGCUGAGGCGCGAAAGCCAGGGGAGCAAACG
rnacentral:rRNA from 1 species